rnacentral:rRNA from 1 species
ACGAGGGGCGCAAGCGUUGUCCGGAUUCAUUGGGUGUAAAGGGUGCGUAGGUGGAUUAAUAAGUUGGAAUUUAAAUCCCGCAGCUUAACUGCGGACCUGGUUCCAAAACUGUUGAUCUUGAGUUCGAAAGAGGGGAGUGGAAUUCCUAGUGUAGCGGUGGAAUGCGUAGAUAUUAGGAGGAACACCAGUGGCGAAGGCGGCUCUCUGGUUCGAUACUGACACUAAGGCACGAAAGCGUGGGGAGCAAACAGG